GACGAACGCUGGCGGCGUGCUUAACACAUGCAAGUCGAGCGGAAAGGCUCCUUCGGGGGUACUCGAGCGGCGAACGGGUGAGUAACACGUGAGUAAUCUGCCCUGCGCUCUGGGAUAGCCACCGGAAACGGUGAUUAAUACCGGAUAUGACCGCUACACGCAUGUGUUGGUGGUGGAAAGUUUUUCGGCGCAGGAUGUGCUCGCGGCCUAUCAGCUUGUUGGUGAGGUAAUGGCUCACCAGGGCUUUGACGGGUAGCCGGCCUGAGAGGGUGACCGGUCACACUGGGACUGAGACACGGCCCAGACUCCUACGGGAGGCAGCAGUGGGGAAUAUUGGACAAUGGGCAGAAGCCUGAUCCAGCAACGCCGCGUGAGGGAUGACGGCCUUCGGGUUGUAAACCUCUUUCAGUACCGACGAAGCGAAAGUGACGGUAGGUACAGAAGAAGGACCGGCCAACUACGUGCCAGCAGCCGCAGUAAAAC
rnacentral:rRNA from 1 species